rnacentral:rRNA from 1 species
UACAGAGGUGGCAAGCGUUGUUCGGAAUUACUGGGCGUAAAGCGCGCGUAGGCGGCUUUGCAAGUCGGGUGUGAAAUCCCCAAGCUCAACUUGGGAACUGCAUUCGAGACUGCUUUGCUAGAGUAUGGGAGAGGGAAGUGGAAUUUCAGGUGUAGCGGUGAAAUGCGUAGAUAUCUGAAGGAACAUCAGUGGCGAAAGCGACUUCCUGGACCAAUACUGACGCUCAUGUGCGAAAGCGUGGGGAGCAAACAGG